rnacentral:rRNA from 1 species
GUGGGGAAUAUUGGACAAUGGGCGAAAGCCUGAUCCAGCCAUGCCGCGUGUGUGAAGAAGGUCUUCGGAUUGUAAAGCACUUUAAGUUGGGAGGAAGGGCAGUAAGUUAAUACCUUGCUGUUUUGACGUUACCGACAGAAUAAGCACCGGCUAACUUCGUGCCAGCAGCCGCGGUAAUACGAAGGGUGCAAGCGUUAAUCGGAAUUACUGGGCGUAAAGCGCGCGUAGGUGGGUCAGCAAGUUGAAGGUGAAAUCCCCGGGCUCAACCUGGGAACUGCCUCCAAAACUGCAUGACUAGAGUACGGUAGAGGGUAGUGGAAUUUCCUGUGUAGCGGUGAAAUGCGUAGAUAUAGGAAGGAACACCAGUGGCGAAGGCGACUACCUGGACUGAUACUGACACUGAGGUGCGAAAGCGUGGGGAGCAAACAGGAUUAGAUACCCGAGUAGUCC